rnacentral:rRNA from 1 species
UACGUAGGGAGCAAGCGUUGUCCGGAAUCAUUGGGCGUAAAGCGCGCGUAGGCGGCCCGAUAAGUCCGUUGUGAAAGUCAAAGGCUCAACCUUUGAAUGCCGAUGGAUACUGUCGGGCUAGAGUCCGGAAGAGGCGAGUGGAAUUCCUGGUGUAGCGGUGGAAUGCGAAGAUAUCAGGAGGAACACCAAUAGCGAAGGCAGCUCGCUGGGACGGUACUGACGCUGAGACGCGACAGCUAGGGGAGCAAACAGG